ACGGAAGGCAGCAGUGGGGAAUAUUGCACAAUGGGCGAAAGCCUGAUGCAGCGACGCCGCGUGAGUGAAGAAGUAUUUCGGUAUGUAAAGCUCUAUCAGCAGGGAAGAAAAUGACGGUACCUGACUAAGAAGCUCCGGCUAAAUACGUGCCAGCAGCCGCGGUAAUACGUAUGGAGCAAGCGUUAUCCGGAUUUACUGGGUGUAAAGGGAGCGUAGACGGUAUGGUAAGUCUGAAGUGAAAGCUCGGGGCUCAACUUCGGAAUUGCUUUGGAAACUAUCAUACUAGAGUGCAGGAGAGGCAAGUGGAAUUCCUAGUGUAGCGGUGAAAUGCGUAGAUAUUAGGAGGAACACCAGUGGCGAAGGCGGCUUGCUGGACUGUAACUGACGUUGAGGCUCGAAAGCGUGGGGAGCAAACAGGAUUAGAUACCCUGGUA
rnacentral:rRNA from 1 species